GCUGGCCGUGGGCGGCGGCGGUGCGCGCUUCCAGGGCGCGCAGCGCGGUCAGUUCCUCGUCGUUCGGCGCGACGGUCUCCU
rnacentral:tRNA from 1 species